GAUGAACGCUGGCGGCGUACUUAACACAUGCAAGUCGAACGAGAAGUGGAGACGGAAACCUUCGGGCGGAAGACUUUACUUCGAGUGGCGGACGGGUGAGUAACGCGUGGGUAACCUGCCUCAUACAGGGGGAUAACAGUUGGAAACGACUGUUAAUACCGCAUAAGACCACAGCACCGCAUGGUGCGGGGGUAAAAACUCCGGUGGUAUGAGAUGGACCCGCGUUCGAUUAGCCAGUUGGCGGGGUAACGGCCCACCAAAGCGACGAUCGAUAGCCGAUCUGAGAGGAUGACCGGCCACAUUGGGACUGAGACACGGCCCAAACUCCUACGGGAGGCAGCAGUGGGGAAUAUUGCACAAUGGGGGAAACCCUGAUGCAGCGACGCCGCGUGAGUGAAGAAGUAUUUCGGUAUGUAAAGCUCUAUCAGCAGGGAAGAAAAUGACAGUACCUGAGUAAGAAGCCCCGGCUAACUACGUG
rnacentral:rRNA from 1 species